CAAGAGAGGGGCGUAACUGGAAGGAGGCGUAACUUGAAGAAAGGGGCGUAACUUGAAGUUGUCCAAAUCACACAGAACCACGCGAGAUGUCAAAACGAGAUGUUAUUGGCAAGAUGGCCGCUUGUAUAUUGACAAGGGACAGAUGAGACACACGAGUGUAUAUCCGGUGCAGAGUGACUGAUGAAGGAAUGCUGCCAUCAAAGACUCUCAAUCUUUUGUGGUGGAGCAGGACCUGCAAGACAAGGUGACAGCGACAUUUGUGGAAAAA